rnacentral:lncRNA from 1 species
GGCUGCUUAGAUUCCCAGAUUUGUUUGCUGCCCCAGUCUCUUCCUGCAAGUUGGCUGUCAGCUGCUAUUCAUCUUUCCUACCUUCCAAAUAUGUUUUUUUUUACAGUGCUUUUCUAAAUGUCGCCUUAUGAAGUCACAUUUUUGUUUGUAGAAGGAGUUGGUGGGUGACUGACAGCGAGUGCCACCAUCAGCCGACUGCCUCUCCUAAGCAGCCCCUGUUGAAGCAAAGAAAGCUGCAUGGGAACCAUGCCCGACAGGACCGUGCACAUUUGUGCUGUGGAGAUGGAUGGCAGCCUAUAGAUGUGUAAUUGCUUGCCUUGCUCAAAUGAAGAUGAAAAAGACUCGCCUCUUCCAGUUGGUUAUUGAUCCUCAGAAUUGCUGAAAUGACGGCGACAAAUGUUUCCCAGCGACAGCCUCUGAUCAGCCCUGUGGUGAUUUUCUUGGACCUCCGUGGCUCCCUUCCUUUCAGAGUAAACAGCAGGUAUGAUCGAUGUUUCUGCCAUUCAUUUCAAGCUGUCCCUGUGACUUAUCACAAAGACGUUCCAAUUAAUGUAGGCUCUCCCAGCUGAAUCUCUUAGCUUGGGCAAUUUUGAAACCCUCUUCAAACUUUUCCCAUUCUGUUCCCCCCACAACUAGCUCACAUUCCUAAUCUUCAUGUGGUGCCUAUUAAGAGAGCCUAAAUAUAGAAUGUAAAAUCUCUGUAUAUUUCAAGUUAUCUGCAACCCACAAGGGUGGGGGGGGGGUGGAAUUAAACAAGAGAGUAGUAGGCAACCGGCCAGCAAUAACAGGGCUUUAACUAGCAUAUGAAGUAUUUAUAGAACACAUAAGGAACAAAGGAAAUGCAGUAUUUCCACCAGGGAAAGCUUCUCUCGAGGUUUCAGUACUUUUGUCCUGUCCUUUAGCCUUGUUUUGAACAAGUCUGCCAGCACUGGAGUUCAGGCAAUUCAUAGUUUCAUUUAUGAAAAAAAAUUAAAAACACAGGAACCAAAGUGAAUUAAAUUAUCAUAUCAAAGCUGCAGGCGGUCCUGCUUGCUUGGGAGCAUGGCCACUGAAUUCAAUGGGGCUUAUUUCCGAGUAAAUGCAUAUAGGCUUGUGCUGUAAAAGUACCAAGAGAAUCUGACAGAUGCUCAUUCAUAAGUUGCUCAAUGAACAAUACGGAAGUUAUUUAGCAGAUUGGCUCAUGAAUGAAAUCAAAUGAUCCUGAGGGAACAUGCAAAACAUUAAGAAGACAAAAAGCCCUGCAGGAUCAGUCCAAAGACCCAGCUAGCCAAGCAGUCUCUUCUCACAGUGGCCAGCCAGAGGUCUAUGGGAAGCCCACAAAAACUGAGCAUAAAAAUCUCAUUUUAAUGCAUGAGGGGUGUAUAUUUGUACACAUGGCAACAAAACCAACAAUAGGGAAACAACAGCCUGAGAAGGGAUGGGCAUAUUUUUGUCUGCUAAUUGGGCACGCAUUUUCCAUGGAAAGCAGAUCCAUGACCCAACAGUGUGCAUUUGUUUAAAUAACUUAUAAUAAUUCAUUGCCUUUCAGCCAUGCUUCCAAAGAGAUUUAAAUAGCAGAAAUGCUUCUGGUUGAUCUAAAGUUGCAGAAACCAACCAUCCCCCCUGGGUUUUUUUAUCUAUGUAGGGAGGGAGUAGCCAAAGUGAAAAAGAAUAUGGAACAGCUCUGAAUCUAUAAACACAUUCAUAUGUCAAGCGCUGUGGGCCCAUGCUGGGAUAAGGUGGCUUUCUCUAGCACCACCCUCGAUGUCCACCUGCAGGGAAAAGCCUACAUGUAGAGAUCUGUACGUGAGCUACAACCCAUGUGGAAAGCACACACACAUAUAGCGUUCUGGGUGCAUAAACUUUCCCCUGCAGAUGUUCAUGCUUAACAAUGGGGGCCAAGACCAAAGGACAGUGCACAUAGGGAUGGAAACAGCACUGUGACCCUGGACCCACCCCUGUCUAUAUAUAAGAGUAUAAUAAGAGCCCUAUCUAGUCCAGCAUCUCAUGGGAAGCCCAUAAACAGGACAUGAACACAGUAGUUCUCAUGAUCCCCACAAGCUGAUAUUCAGAGGGAUACUGGAUACUGGAGGCAAUAUACCCAUCACACAAACUAAACUCAGAACAUUCAUGGUAUGAAAAGUUAGAGGAUUUGUUGGGAAUCUGAAGUAAGAUAGCAAAGUUUGCCCCCAGUUCCAGUUACCUACAGAGGCAGCUUAAGGUCCAAAAUAGUUUACUGCUGUAGAAGAUAAGGCUUCAGUAAUACAGUUCUGGGUGUUGAUAUAUGCAUGCAGCUUGAAGGCUUUUGACUUUGGCAGAUAUGUACAUGCAAGUACUAAGUAUUUCUGUUGCUCCAGCAGUUCAAGUUGUAAUGGAGACUCUGACUCACUUCUCAAAACUGACCCCGACACAGAGAGGAGCAGACCCCAGACCAAAUGAGCUGACAUGCCUUAAUCACUUAUAUAGACGGCACUGGGCCAUUGUCAUAGCAACUGGCUUGGCUGACCUUGCACCGGUUGGCUUAUCUCAUACAUGGGGUGAUUUGUAUUCAUGAUGGAAAUCAACCCCUCCCUCCAUGUCCUACGGGGUCUGUACUUACUGUAAACAAAGCAGUAUGAGCACUUCAAAACUGUUACUGAGCAUAAGUGAUCUUGAAAGUGGGAUCCUAUUUAACUGCCAUGCUAACACCAUGAGCACACAUCAUGAUGACGGCUCGAUAAAAAAGAUGUAUGGAAGCACUCUGCAGGAGGGGGCAGUGCACUGGAAGCACAAGAAGAUUUACAAGGAGAAGCAAGAACAAAGAUAACUCGCAACUUAUGGAUUCCAGUCCUUGCAAAGUUCCCAUUUGGGUUCAUAUGCCAGUCAUCCAAUGCGUAUUGGAACAAAGCUCUCUUCCUUUUUCAUUUUGGUACCCUUUGGGGAUGAAAUGGGAAAUUGUGCGUGGAAUGAUAAGUAACUCUCUGCACAUUCCAUAUUGGCUGAGCUUCCCAAGUUAAAUAAAAAUGUUAAAAACCUCUUUCUUUCUGAUUUCACAGUUGCUUAGCUUUACCAUUUAUUUCUAGGUAUUAAAAUCUGUGCCUAUUCCUUUGGCUCCGCUGGACUGAGGAAACAAUGGGACCAAAAGGCAAUACUUAAAGACUACUGAGCGUGUAGAGGAAACCCAAACGACACAGGUCAGUAGCUUUUAGCUGAGGAUCUUUCUGUACUCCGAACCUCGUACAAAUCAAUAAAAGAUCCUCGUUUCCUUCUAGCUGUUCCAUGAAGAAGAGAAGAGAAGAGAAGGUUGUACUCUAUACAUUGCUACUUCUAAUAGGUAACUGACCUCUAUUGUUAACUUUGAAAGCUAUAAAAUAAAGGCACCCUUAGAGAUUCUUCAGAGGCUAAACAUAGACUUUUAGAGCUGGAAGGGACCUGAAAGUGGGGUGGGGGGUGAUGCCCACAACGAUUUCUACUGUGUGCAGAUGUGCCCAUGGCCCCCAAAAUGACCCUUGCCCUACAGCAUGCAUUAUUAUUAUCUACUUUAUUUAUUUUAAUUAUUUCUAUGCCAUCUUUCAUGUAAACAUCACAAGGCGGUUUACAAAAAUACAUUAAAAUGUCAUUAAACCUUACAGAACAAAUAAAAG